UUCACUGCACUGUUUACUUGGGAAGUGGAAAGGAUGGGCUAUACCAUUACCCUCUGGGAUUUGGAGACCCAGGGCAUGCAGUGUUUUUCCCUUGGCACAAAGUGUAUUCCUGUAGACAGUAGUGGAGACCAGCAGCUGUGCUUUGUUUUGACAGAGAAUGGACUCUCUCUGAUUUUGUUUGGUUUGACUCAAGAAGAGUUUUUAAACAGACUCAUGAUCCAUGGAAGUGCCAGCACUGUGGACACUCUUUGUCAUCUCAAUGGCUGGGGAAGGUGCUCAAUUCCCAUACAUGCACUAGAGGCCGGGAUAGAAAAUCGUCAGCUGGACACAGUAAAUUUCUUUUUGAAGAGCAAGGAAAAUCUUUUUAAUCCAUCCUCAAAAUCUUCUGUAUCUGAUCAGUUUGAUCACUUGUCAUCCCAUUUAUAUUUAAGAAGUAAGUGGAAUAAAGAUUUCUACAUUUGUAUUUAU
rnacentral:lncRNA from 1 species